UACGGAGGGUCCGAGCGUUAUCCGGAUUUAUUGGGUUUAAAGGGUGCGUAGGCGGCCUAUUAAGUCAGGGGUGAAAGACGGUAGCUUAACUAUCGCAGUGCCUUUGAUACUGAUAGGCUUGAAUGUACUUGAGGUAGGCGGAAUGUGACAAGUAGCGGUGAAAUGCACAGAUAUGUCACAGAACACCAAUUGCGAAGGCAGCUUACUAAAGUAUGAUUGACGCUGAGGCACGAAAGCGUGGGGAUCAAACAGG
rnacentral:rRNA from 1 species